rnacentral:rRNA from 1 species
CCCGGGCCUUGUACACACCGCCCGUCACACCACGAAAGUUGGUAACACCCGAAGCCAGUGGCCCAACCGUAAGGAGGGAGCUGUCGAAGGUGGGAUCAGCGAUUGGGGUG